UUCUCUCUCGCAGCCCUGCAUCUCCAUCUGUGAAGUGACCUGAGCCCGUUACCCAGGAGCUCGUGUGUCUGAUGCCAGAAGCAGCACGUCAUCCGUCAGCAGAGCCGACUGUCACACUUCCUGUGUCAGAGGCGCUCCUGACUUCUCCCGAGACGUCUGCCGAGCCCGGUCAGUACUUUCCCUGUACAGAGACCAAGGCAUGGAGAAGGAGAUGACGUGGAGAGAGUUCCAGGCGUCUGCCUUCUAUGAGACGGGAAAAACAGAUGGGCCGUUGACAAGAGCAAAUAAGAGAGAUGAGCAGUGUUUUGUCAUGUAUAUAUCUUUUCUUAUUCUAAUAAUUACAUUCUUGUAUUAUAUAAAUUAUAUUUGUUUUACUAUUUUUAUUGUUUGUGUGACCUUGCACUAUGGCCUGUGUGUUCAAUAUUUACUGUCCCUGUUGUGAAUAAAUAUAUUUCAUGGA